rnacentral:rRNA from 1 species
GUCGAACGCUGGCGGCGUGCCUAAUACAUGCAAGUCGAACGCAGUGGGGACGGGUGCGUAACAAGUGGGUAACCUCCCAUCAGAGGGGAUAACACUUGGAAACAGGUGCUAAACCGAUACUGAUGGAUGGACCCGCGGUGCAUUAGCUAGUUGGUGAGGUAACGGCUCACCAAGGCCACGAUGAAUAGCCGACCUGAGAGGGUGACCGGCCACACUGGGACUGAGACACGGCCCAGACUCCUACGGGAGGCAGAAGUGGGGAAUAUGCGGCAAUGGACGAAAGUCUGACCGAGCAACGCCGCGUGAGUGAAGAAGGUUUUCGGAUUGUAAAACUCUGUCGUUGGGGAAGCGGUAUCUAAACAGAAAGCAACGGCUAACUACGUGCCAGCAGCCGCGGUAAUUC